CGGCCGCGCGGCCCCGCCCGUCGGCCUCGCUCCCGCCACAGAGCCCGCAGCACGCCGCCGCCGCAGCCUAGGUCACAGAUCUGUGAAAAUCUUUAAAGGCAUGUGUUUUGCCAUAUAUGCAAGUGAAUCAACUUGCCAGAUAAAAGUUUGCUGCCUAAAUAUGAUUACUAGGAAAGCCAAGUCUCUCUUCCUGGAUUUCUUCUCCUAUAAACCGCCUAUUGAUACCUACCCACUUCUCUAUGGAGCACAGAUGAAGGAUAUUGGUCAUCUCCAGCAUCUAGCACAACGUCUGCAAUGGAACAGGCGAGCUGUGAAUAUUUGUGGAAUGCAUGGGUGGACUAAAGACCUAUCACCUCACUCUAGAAUGCCCAGCAUGUUGGAGCAUGUUAAGCACUAUAUGAGCUGCUGAGGAUACAGGAAUAAACAACAACACAGGUGUGUCCUCUGCCCAAACCAGGCAUAAAUGAGCUUCCAAAUGAACACAAACAAAUCUGGAAGGCUUUUGAGGAAGAAGGACCAUUAAAAAAGCUGCUGACGACUGCCUGGAAUCUGGUUUGGAGCAUCUC
ensembl:lncRNA SPART-AS1 SPART antisense RNA 1